rfam:Fusobacterium varium ATCC 27725 genomic scaffold supercont2.5, whole genome shotgun sequence.
CUGUAAAGAUAUGGUGAGCUGUAGAGCCAUCCCCAAAAUAGGAAUUGGGACAUAUCGAGGAA